CCUACGUGAGGCAGCAGUGAGGAAUAUUGGUCAAUGGUCGGGAGACUGAACCAGCCAAGCCGCGUGAGGGAUGAAGGUACAGAGUAUCGUAAACCUCUUUUGUCAGGGAACAAAGGCGGGGACGUGUCCCCGGAUGAGUGUACCUGACGAAAAAGCAUCGGCUAACUCCGUGCCAGCAGCCGCGGUAAUACGGAGGAUGCGAGCGUUAUCCGGAUUUAGUGGGUUUAAAGGGUGCGCAGGCGGUCUGUUAAGUCAGCGGUCAAAGCCCGGGGCUCAACCCCGGCCCGCCGUUGAAACUGGCAGUCUCGAGUUGGAGAGAAGUAUGCGGAAUGCGCGGUGUAGCGGUGAAAUGCAUAGAUAUCGCGCAGAACUCCGAUUGCGAAGGCAGCAUGCCGGCUCCACACUGACGCUGAGGCACGAAAGCGUGGGUAUCGAACAGGAUUAGAUACCCUUGUAGUC
rnacentral:rRNA from 1 species